CUUCAGACUACACCACAAGGACCAUUUGACUGUCCCCUCUGGCUUCUGCAUCUUGCUUCCAGCGUGAACAGACAGCAGUCAUCAUGCUGUAAUAAUUUUCUCCCGCUUCACCUGUGGUCCCUAUGAAUAACAGAGUGGGGAGAGAGGGGAAAGCUGAAGAAGAAGAUGAGUUUGGCUUAGUGUCUGAUGAUCACACCGUUACACACUGCAUCCUACCUUUUCAGGAUCUAAAACAGAAUUAUGUACAAGCCCUGCUGCAUAUGUACUCAUAUAUCUCAAAUGCUGUGUGUCUUUAAAUGCGAGAAGCCAUUGGCUUUGCUGAUCAGCCCAAGAUGGGCAUUUCAUACUCAGAGGUGGCAUGGAAAAAAGCACAGAGAUGGUUGUAGAAAAAGAAGACAGUGUCUUGAGGCUGGCAUCACUGGCUGAGUUAUCAGGGUAAACAAUGGUGCCUUUAAAGGAUACAGUCUGAGGUGAAUAAGAAGACUGAGCAACUCCGACAGCCACAGAAACCAAAGCAAUCUAACAUAGUGCUACAG